rnacentral:rRNA from 1 species
AUUGGAGGGCAAGUCUGGUGCCAGCAGCCGCGGUAAUUCCAGCUCCAAUAGCGUAUAUUAAACUUGUUGCAGUUAAAAAGCUCGUAGUUGAAUUUCUGCGUCACCGUAUUUUGACUUUUGUCGACUGUCGGUUUCGCUUUUGGGAUUUAUCCCUUUUUACUUUGAGAAAAUUAGAGUGUUUCAAGCAGACUUUUGUCUUGAAUACUUCAGCAUGGAAUAAUAGAGUAGGACUUUGGUUCUAUUUUGUUGGUUUGUGAACCUUA